rnacentral:rRNA from 1 species
ACGGGGUGCAGCAGGCGCGAGAACUCUACAAUGCACGAAAGUGUGAUAGGGGAACUCCAAGUGCAAACAUUUGUUUGCUUUUCUCAAGUUUACAAAGCUUGGGGAAUAAGAGCUGGGCAAGACCCGUGCCAGCCGCCGCGGUAAUACGGGCAGCUCGAGUGGUGUUCGCGAAUACUGGGCCUAAAGCGUUCGUAGCCGGUUCAGUCAGUUCUUGGUGAAAUCCUGCGACUCAAUCGUGGGGCUUGCCAGGAAUACUGCUGGACUUGGGGAUGGGAUAGGUAGGAGGUACUCCAGAGGUAGGGGUUAAAUCCUGUGAUCUCUGGCGGACCGACAGUGGCGAAGGCGUCCUACUGGAACAUGCCCGACGGUGAGGAACGAAAGCUGGGGGAGCAACCCGGAUUAGAUACCCGGUUAGUCCCAGCCGUAAAUGCUGCUGGCUUCGUGUCGCACUCCCCACGAGGAAGUGCGGUGCCGAAGGGAAGCCGUUAAGCCAGCCGCCUGGGAAGUACGGUCGCAAGGCUGAAACUUAAAGGAAUUGGCGGGGGAGUACCACAAGGGGUGGAGGCUGCGGUUUAAUUGGAUACAACGCCGGACAACUCACCAGGAUUGACAGCAGAAUGACGGACAGUCUAAAGGGCUUUCCCGACGCGCUGAGAGGUAGUGCAUGGCCACCGCCAGCUCGUGCUGUGAAGUGUCCUGUUAAGUCAGGCAACGAGCGAGACCCACGCUUCCAGUUGCUAACCUUUUUCUCCGGAAA